GUGAACUGCGAACGGCUCAUUAAAUCAGUUAUAGUUUAUUUGAUGGUACCUUGCUACAUGGAUAACUGUGGUAAUUCUAGAGCUAAUACAUGCGAUCAAGCCCCGACUUCUGGAAGGGGUGUAUUUAUUAGAUAAAAAACCAACGCGGUUCGCCGCUCCAUUGGUGAUUCAUAAUAACUUCUCGAAUCGCACGGCCUUGCGCUGGCGAUGCUUCAUUCAAAUAUCUGCCCUAUCAACUUUCGAUGGUAGGAUAGUGGCCUACCAUGGUUUCAACGGGUAACGGGGAAUAAGGGUUCGAUUCCGGAGAGGGAGCCUGAGAAACGGCUACCACAUCCAAGGAAGGCAGCAGGCGCGCAAAUUACCCAAUCCCGACACGGGGAGGUAGUGACAAUAAAUAACAAUAUAGGGCUCUUUCGGGUCUUAUAAUUGGAAUGAGUACAAUUUAAAUCCCUUAACGAGGAACGAUUGGAGGGCAAGUCUGGUGCCAGCAGCCGCGGUAAUUCCAGCUCCAAUAGCGUAUAUUAAAGUUGUUGCAGUUAAAAAGCUCGUAGUUGAACUUCAGGCCUGGCCGGAUGGUCUGCCUCACGGUAUGUACUGUUUGGCUGGGCCUUACCUCUUGGUGAGCCGGCAUGCCCUUCGCUGGGUGUGUCGGGGAACCAGGACUUUUACCUUGAGAAAAUUAGAGUGUUCAAAGCAGGCUUACGCCCGAAUACAUUAGCAUGGAAUAAUAAAAUAGGACGUGCGGUUCUAUUUUGUUGGUUUCUAGAGUCGCCGUAAUGAUUAAUAGGGAUAGUUGGGGGCAUUAGUAUUCAGUUGCUAGAGGUGAAAUUCUUGGAUUUACUGAAGACUAACUACUGCGAAAGCAUUUGCCAAGGAUGUUUUCAUUAAUCAAGAACGAAGGUUAGGGGAUCGAAAACGAUCAGAUACCGUUGUAGUCUUAACAGUAAACUAUGCCGACUAGGGAUCGGGCGAACUCAAUCUUAUGUGUCGCUCGGCACCUUACGAGAAAUCAAAGUCUUUGGGUUCUGGGGGGGAGUAUGGUCGCAAGGCUGAAACUUAAAGGAAUUGACGGAAGGGCACCACCAGGAGUGGAGCCUGCGGCUUAAUUUGACUCAACACGGGGAAACUCACCAGGUCCAGACAUGACUAGGAUUGACAGAUUGAUAGCUCUUUCAUGA
rnacentral:rRNA from 1 species